UACAUUCACCACAGUAAGUCACUUUGGAUAAAAGUGUCUGCUAAUGCCACAUA
rfam:Salmo salar isolate Sally breed double haploid chromosome ssa17, whole genome shotgun sequence.